rnacentral:rRNA from 1 species
AUGCAGAAAGGUAGCUGCAAGAACUAUUAUCCACGACCAUUUAAUGUGUCAACCCUUCAGGGAAAGGACUCAUAUCCCAUAUAUAGGAGGAGAGAUGAUGGACGCCGUGCAAAGGUACGUGGCCAAGAGUUAGACAAUAGGUGGGUUGUUCCAUAUAAUCCUUACCUAGUAAGAAGGUAUAAUUGCCACAUCAAUGUCGAGGUUUGCUCAAGCAUAAAAGCUGUAAAGUACCUCUUUAAAUACAUAUAUAAGGGGCAUGAUCGAGCAUCUGUUUCUAUCGAUGAGGUGGAUAGUGAUAGGAACAUUGAUGAGAUAAAGCAAUACCGAGAUUCCAGUAAUGAGGCUAGGGAGAUCAUAGAGGAGUCCACGAUAGAGGUGGACCCAGAACACCUUGGCUUGUCAUCUUUCCUAAACCCAGAACAGAGAUAUGCAUAUGAUGAGAUACUUGCGACCAUCAAUAGUGGCCAAGGAGGUGUGUUCUUUGUUGAUGGACCCGGAGGCACGGGAAAGACUUAUCUGUACAAAGCACUACUUGCAAAAGUACGUGCCGAGGGUAAAAUAGCUGUUGCAACAGCGACAUCAGGCGUUGCUGCAUCCAUCUUGCCUGGAGGGAGGACUGCACACUCAAGGUUUAAAAUACCAUUGAACACCGAAGACGGUGGGGUCUGCAGUUUCACCAAGCAAAGUGGGACAGCUAAGCUUCUUAUGAGGGCGUCCCUCAUAAUUUGGGACGAGUCCUCCAUGACAAAGCGGUAG